rnacentral:rRNA from 1 species
UUGCAGUUAAAAAGCUCGUAGUUGGAUUUCUGAUAGGAGCCCUGGUCACUCUAACGAGUGUACUGAUGUGGCGUCCUGUCGUUUCAUGGGGAUGCUUGCUGGUAUUAAGUUAUCGGCUUGUGGAUCCAUGUCGUUUACUGUGAAACAAUUAGAGUGUUCAAAGCAGGCCAUCGCUGUGAAUACAUUAGCAUGGAAUAAUAAGAUAGGACUGUGGUGCUAUUUUGUUGGUUUGCGUACUACGGUAAUGAUUAAUAGGGAUAGUUGGGGGUAUUCAUAUUCAAUUGUCAGAGGUGAAAUUCUUGGAUUUAUGGAAGAUGAACUACUGCGAAAGCAUUUACCAAGGAUGUUUUCAUUAAUCAAGAACGAAAGUUAGGGGAUCGAAGAUGAUUAGAUACCAUCGUAGUCUUAACCAUAAACUAUGCCGACUCGGGAUUGGCCGUCGUUGAAUGAAUGACUCGGUCAGCACCGUAUGAGAAAUCAAAGUCUUUGGGUUCCGGGGGGAGUAUGGUCGCAAGGCUGAAACUUAAAGGAAUUGACGGAAGGGCACCACCAGGAGUGGAACCUGCGGCUUAAUUUGACUCAAC